rnacentral:rRNA from 1 species
UACGAAGGGGGCUAGCGUUGUUCGGAUUUACUGGGCGUAAAGCGCACGUAGGCGGAUCGUUAAGUUGGGGGUGAAAUCCCAGGGCUCAACCCUGGAACUGCCUUCAAUACUGGCGAUCUAGAGUCCGGAAGAGGUGAGUGGAACUCCUAGUGUAGAGGUGGAAUUCGUAGAUAUUAGGAAGAACACCAGUGGCGAAGGCGGCUCACUGGUCCGGUACUGACGCUGAGGUGCGAAAGCGUGGGGAGCAAACAGGG